AUCUCACACGUGAAGUGCACGUGGUUUUUCCAUAAGGGGUGUGUCGAAAUAAGAGGUGGUGUGUUCCAGAUAUUGAAGAAUAUAAUCCAUCUUUUAUGAUGUUUAGUAACGCAGCACAUGAUGAUUAAAAAAAAAAAAAAUUGGGAAGCAGCUUGUCAUUUAGAUGUUUAGAGACAAAGCCUGCGUGAGUGCUAAGCUCUUAAAAGCUUUAAAAACAAAUAGAGGCAUUAAAGUAACUGAGGUAUUAAUAAAGUAAACUUUUUGAGCACUCGUUUAAAUCCACUCCACCCCUGUGUGUGUGUGCGCACAUGUAUUUAUCUCUUUGUGAGGACCAGAAAGGAGUGUAGUGUAGUGUAGUGCUAGUGUAGUAUCAAAUGUCCUCACACAGUCGCAAUGGGGAUGUAACUGAAGGUGAAUACAUUAUUUGUGAAUGAACUGAUAAGUGUCAGUGUUUGUAUUUAAUGGACCCUUUAAAAAAGUAAGAUUUAAGACACCCAUUUGUGGAUUAAUACUGCAAUCUGCUAUAUUCAGAACGUUUCAAGUCCAUUUUCCCCAGUUCUGAUCUAAACACAUUCCAGUACUUCAGCUCAGAAAAUCAUAGAUGUCCAGAGCUAGACCAUAUUUGUAUGGCUAGUCUCUGAAUUUGCUAAACUUAUUAACAAGAUUUACAUUCAAUUAUUUCUGCAUGAUUAGAGAUCAAAGCAACAUGUAAGACAGGUUGACUAAUCUUGUUCAUCUUUGGUCUUUAUCGCGUUCCAUUGAAAUUGAUGGAAUUACAAAUUUAAAGUUACAAAGUUGUUAAAACAUCUUUUUACAAACCAAAAGCUACAUGUCAACUAAAAUCAAAUUUUAUCAAGUAGAAAAUAAUUCAAAGGGAAUUCAGUUUGCUGUUAACUGUGCACCACCAUAUUGUUGUAACAUUGGCUGUGUUUGUCAGACAACUCGGGCACGAUGGAUAUUACCCAAGUUCCCAACUUGGAAUUCUGAGUUGAAUGACUGUUCCGUUGACUCUUCAAUGCCAGGAUUGGGUUUUCCAAGUACAAUGGAUUGCAGCAUACAGCUGAAUAUGGAUAUUUGGAGCAAUAAACAGAUACUGAUGGUUGGAUGGUUGGGUGGAUGUUGUGACGUGGGAAAAAAAUAGUUUCUGGUAGUAUUAAAAUUAGCUUUAAUAACCAGGCUAUCCUGACUCAUGGCUAACAAGCUAAACCUGCUUCCUGUUGCUGCUUCACAACUCCAGGUUCCCAGGUUCAAUCAUUAGCUCAGGUUACUGUCUUUAUGGAGUUCCACAUGUUCUUCCUGUGACUAUGGGUUUUCUCCACGUUCUCUGGUUUCCUAUCACCUCCCAAAAACAUGGUCCUGUUACAGGAUAUAGUGAGUGAGUGUGAUUAUAGAUAGUUACACCUCUAAUACUCACAAAAUAAAUGGAAAAAAAUGCAGCUUUUAUUUGAAAAACUAAAAAGACCUGGAAUGUUUCUUUAUGGUUACAGAAGUUAAGCUUAAGUUAAGAUUCAGGGGUAGGCAUAGCAUUAAUGAGCUGCAGUAAUUAUGGUAAUGGAAGGUCCUCACAAAGAUAGUACUAAGAUUAGUGUGUGUGUCUAGUUUAAAGUUGUAAGAUGCUCCUGUUGCUUUAGACGAGCUUUAGAUGAGCUUUAGACGAGCUUCAGAUGAGCUGAACAGGUGGCUGUAGGAGCUCGGGCUGCAGGGAGGAGGAUGCAGGAUAUCUGAUAGUCUUGAUUGUCUCACUUAGUUACACACCCAAAAGAGGGACUGAACUUAAAGGAGUGGUUUUAGCGUUUCACCACUUUUUUAACAAGAGGUGUCGACUUCAAUCUCGAGCGUGAGCCAAUGGUCUCAGAGGUUCAGAUUUCUGUAGACUAAUAAAGAAAUGAAGCAGCAGCAGAGUAAGUGGCCCAAGGCUGAUCGUCCUCCUGCUCCACCCUCCACUGUGUGCAGAUACGUUACACUCAGCACCAUCUUGGCGAUUCUCAUCAUCUGUGCUUUAGUGGGUGUUGUGAUAGCGUACACGGUGCAGAAGGAGCAUUACUUCAUGGACACGGUGGAGUUAAAAGGCCUACAGUACAAACCUGAGCUCAAGGAUAAAACGUCUGCGUUUUUUUUAAUCCUGACAGCCACUUUGGAAACAAAGAUCCAGAAUAUUUUCCUUGCAUCAUCAUUUGCACCCCAUUUUGUCUCCUGCCAUAUCGUUGCGUACGGGAACAUCAGUAAUAACGUGAUGGCGACGCUUCGUUUGGUCUUCAGAGUGGCCAAAUUUCAAGUACAAUUUACAGAGUACACAGACCGUUUCCUCCAGGAGCAGAUUCAGUACGGCUUUCAGGCUUUAGUCAGUCCAAACCCGCUGACUAUUCCUGAGUUUGGAGAAAUUCAGAGCAUCGUCCUUCUGGGUGCUAGCGAAAAGUCUUUGUAUGUAAUCAACGCUAAUGCAGGUAGAUGUCCUGAUGACACAUUUACCUGUGCCAGUGGGGAGUGUGUGACUAAACCUAAUGCUGAGUGUGACUCUGUGUCGGAUUGUGCUGAUGAAUCAGAUGAGGCAUACUGCUCGUGUGGCAGGAAGCUGGUGGUGGACAGUCGGGUUGUUGGGGGUGAAAACGCCCAACUUGGUGAUUUGCCCUGGCAGGUGAGUCUGAGACUCCAUGGCCAUCACACCUGCGGAGCCUCCAUCAUAAACCGCCACUGGCUGGUCAGUGCUGCACACUGCUUUGAGAGUAGUAAAAACCCGAGGGACUGGACAGCGCUGGUCGGAGCGAGUUUAGUGAAUGGUGUGGAGAAAGGAGCAAUCACAGUGAACAUCAAAUCUCUGAUUGUCUCUCCACAUUAUAACCCCAUGAACUCAGACAGUGAUGUGACUGUGCUGGAGCUGGAGAAGCCACUGACUUUCACUCCUUACAUCCAGCCCGUCUGCAUCCCAUCCUCAUCUCACAUCUUCAGUCCUGGACAAGACUGCAUCGUCUCUGGCUGGGGAGCCGUCAAACAGGACAGCAGCAAGUUGCCUCCUACGCUCCAAAAAGCCUCAGUGAAGAUCAUUGAUUCGAACGUGUGUAACAGUUCGACCGUAUACAGAGGAGCCAUCACCAAUAACAUGAUGUGCGCUGGCUUCCUGCAGGGAAAAGUUGACUCCUGCCAGGGAGACUCAGGAGGUCCUCUGGUGUGUGAAAGCAGCCCUGACCGCUUCUUUCUGGCGGGUAUAGUGAGCUGGGGAAUGGGCUGUGCGCAAGUCAAUAAGCCUGGAGUGUACUCCCAGGUCACUGUGCUCCGCAACUGGAUCCUGAGCCAUGCCGACCCCAGUAGCACUCAGGACAGACCAACAGUUCACAGCGCAACAAACACUGCAGUCCUCCGUGCUAAGGCAGUCACUUCAACUCCUGUGGUGACUGGUAGGAAUACCAGUACUGGAGCUGUAAACUGCAGCGGAAACUUUAACUGUGGCGCAGGAGUGUGUAUCAGCAAGAUCAACCCUGAGUGUGACCGAGUCGCUGACUGCUCCAAUGAAGCCGAUGAGAAAAACUGUGACUGUGGCCAGCGACCUGAAUUCAGCCACCAGAGAAUUGUGGGAGGUGUGAGUGCCCGUCGAGGGGAAUGGCCAUGGGUGGCGAGUCUGCAGUUCCAGCGUUUACAUCGCUGUGGUGCCACGCUUAUACACUGCAAAUGGCUCCUUACAGCUGCUCAUUGCUUCAGCAGAAAGGAGUCAAACCCCAGUGGCUGGACGGUGAGUUUAGGUUCGGUGCUCCGGUCCGGAGUGGGAGCUUUGAUCAUCCCAGUGCAGAGGAUCAUCCAGCAUCCUGCCUUCAACAGCAGCAAUAUGGACUUUGAUGUGGCUCUGGUGCAGCUCUCGAUCCCGGCGCCGAGCUCCUACACCAUCCAGACGCUGUGUUUGCCCUCCCCAACACACAGCUUCUUCAAGGGCACAGAGUGUUACAUCACUGGGUGGGGCUCAAUGAGAGAAGAUGGUGAGAAAGAACAUUUUCUGAAGUUUUACUGAAUGUGACUAGACUGUAGUUAUAAUCUUGAAGAUGUUUUAUUAACAUAUGAAAGGCUUCAUCACAUCUGCACCAAUUUGAAAUGGCCGUCAUGUGUCCUUUAAUGGGUUUAUGAAGUCAUAAUUAUGAAGACUGUUUACUCCUCUGUAGAACUGAUGAAGAACCUUAGAUAAAAGGUUAUGUAUAGAACAAAACACUCCAGGUUAUGCUGUUAUAGGAACUUCGGGAAGUGUUUUAUUCCUCUUAUACCACAAGUAAUUCACCAAUCAUUUUUUAUUAAUUAAAGUAUGACAUACUUUUAACAGUUUAUAGUUACAUUUAACGUUAUGGAACGUAUACCAAACAAGUUAGUUCCUGUUAUCACAUAUUAUGUUAAAGCAGCUGUUAUAGCACCUUUUAUAGCAGCUAUAAAAGGUCAUUCCCUUACCAGACUCUCUUUUUUUCCUCUCUCGAAGUUCAUAAGACCAAAAAAUGCAGCUUCUCAUGUUACAGAGAAACUGCAAAGCGUAAACUCCUGUAGCUGAAAACUUACUGACUGUUACAAAGCGCUGACACUGGCAACUCCUUCCAUAAAUGUUAAACAUCUCCUCACAGAAAUUUUCAAAUUCAUAUAUUAUUAGCCUUAGAUUAUAUGAAGUGUCCACCAUAUAAGUCCCUUUGAAUGAGCUGUUACUAUAGAAAUGAUGUAUUAAAAUGAGUGCCUUAACAUAAACCUGUGAUUUGUAGCUGUACUACAGUCAGAGCUGCUGUUAUAGACUUCUGACCAAUCAAUUCAUGAUUCAGCCCUUUUUUCUCUACAAAAAAUGACUUCUAAGUAGUAAGUCAGUGUUAACAGCCUUGUAUAUAUAAUAAUCUUGAAGAUGUUUGACCCCUCUCAUCUGAGGUUCUUGACUCACAACUACUAGAAUUAAAACAUUUAUACUUAAUACACUUGCACAGAAUACAGAUUAUUCAGAAUGAGUACAUAUUUUUUGGUACUUAGUAUUAAUUAAUAAGGGAUGUAGGAACAUUUUAUGUAGGUUUAUGUUUCCCUAGUUUAAACAGUGGCUAUGAUAAGCACACACGUGUGUUCAUGCACUUACGCUACUAGUCUCAUUCCUUAUAAUGUUUGCUAGUUGAUUUAAAAUGAAGUGCUAGCUCAUUAAUUACCUCAGAUCGAGUAGUGUUGCAGUGAAGAGUGGAUUUGUUGUUGAGUUUGUUUCAGUUCAGAAAGGUGGUUCUGUACAGCGGUAAGUAAAGUAUGUUUCUUUGUCUUAAUUGUGCUGUCCCUAGUUACGGAUAGCAACUGAUUGUCAAGAACAAUAUACUGGGAAAGCUAACUAAUCAGUUACAGAAAGCUCAGGUUGGUAUAAUAGACCAAUCAGAGUGUCAGCAGUCUUACGGCAGAAAAC